UGGCGGCGUGCUUAACACAUGCAAGUCGAACGGAAAGGCCCUGCUUUUGUGGGGUGCUCGAGUGGCGAACGGGUGAGUAACACGUGAGUAACCUGCCCUUGACUUUGGGAUAACUUCAGGAAACUGGGGCUAAUACCGGAUAGGAGCUCCUGCUGCAUGGUGGGGGUUGGAAAGUUUCGGCGGUUGGGGAUGGACUCGCGGCUUAUCAGCUUGUUGGUGGGGUAGUGGCUUACCAAGGCUUUGACGGGUAGCCGGCCUGAGAGGGUGACCGGCCACAUUGGGACUGAGAUACGGCCCAGACUCCUACGGGAGGCAGCAGUGGGGAAUAUUGCACAAUGGGCGGAAGCCUGAUGCAGCAACGCCGCGUGCGGGAUGACGGCCUUCGGGUUGUAAACCGCUUUCGCCUGUGACGAAGCGUGAGUGACGGUAAUGGGUAAAGAAGCACCGGCUAACUACGUGCCAGCAGCCGCGGUGAUACGUAGGGUGCGAGCGUUGUCCGGAUUUAUUGGGCGUAAAGGGCUCGUAGGUGGUUGAUCGCGUCGGAAGUGUAAUCUUGGGGCUUAACCCUGAGCGUGCUUUCGAUACGGGUUGACUUGAGGAAGGUAGGGGAGAAUGGAAUUCCUGGUGGAGCGGUGGAAUGCGCAGAUAUCAGGAGGAACACCAGUGGCGAAGGCGGUUCUCUGGGCCUUUCCUGACGCUGAGGAGCGAAAGCGUGGGGAGCGAACAGGCUUAGAUACCCUGGUAGUCCACGCUGUAAACGGUGGGUACUAGGUGUGGGGUCCAUUCCACGGGUUCCGUGCCGUAGCUAACGCUUUAAGUACCCCGCCUGGGGAGUACGGCCGCAAGGCUAAAACUCAAAGGAAUUGACGGGGCCCCGCACAAGCGGCGGAGCAUGCGGAUUAAUUCGAUGCAACGCGUAGAACCUUACCUGGGUUUGACAUGGAUCGGGAGUGCUCAGAGAUGGGUGUGCCUCUUUUGGGGUCGGUUCACAGGUGGUGCAUGCCUGUCGUCAGCUCGUGUCGUGAGAUGUUGGGUUAAGUCCCGCAACGAGCGCAACCCUUGUUCACUGUUGCCAGCACGUUAUGGUGGGGACUCAGUGGAGACCGCCGGGGUCAACUCGGAGGAAGGUGGGGAUGACGUCAAGUCCUCAUGCCCCUUAUGUCCAGGGCUUCACGCAUGCUACAAUGGCUGGUACAGAGAGUGGCGAGCCUGUGAGGGUGAGCGAAUCUCGGAAAGCCGGUCUCAGUUCGGAUUGGGGUCUGCAACUCGACCUCAUGAAGUCGGAGUCGCUAGUAAUCGCAGAUCAGCAACGCUGCGGUGAAUACGUUCCCGGGGCUUGUACACACCGCCCGUCAAGUCAUGAAAGUUGGUAACACCCGAAGCCGGUGGCCUAACCGUUGUGGGGGAGCCGUCGAAGGUGGGACUGGUGAUUAGGACUAAGUCAUAACA
rnacentral:rRNA from 1 species